rfam:Arabis alpina cultivar Pajares Aa.chr2_contig_1145, whole genome shotgun sequence.
ACCCCAUGGUGAGGACAGCUUCUAGUGUAUUCUUUCAGACAUUCCCAAGCUUCACUUAGAGAUUCUUGACCACCUUGCCUAAAGGAGUUGAUGUCACUUUUGUACUU